CGAUAUAUCCGGUAUUAGAGUCAGUGCACCACUGAAGAGGAGUCUUGGGCGUUGCUCCAUGAGGAAAGAGUAUGAAUUUUUUGAUUUUGCCGAGUUCCUGGAUAUCCUGAUGAUGGCUUUCUUCACGACUUCCGUCUUGAUGAAUCUUCUCCUACAAGGCAGCCUCCUACCUGGUGUUGUCCAUCCUCCUACUUGACUGUCGGAAGAAGAGUAUAUCUGCGAACGGUGAGUCGCAUGUUUUAUGGUUCCUCUGGUGCCCAAUCAUGUCGUAGGACGAAUGGUC